rnacentral:rRNA from 1 species
GGGUUGUGAGGUUAAGCGACUAAGCGUACACGGUGGAUGCCCUGGCAGUCAGAGGCGAUGAAGGACGUGCUAAUCUGCGAAAAGCGUCGGUAAGGUGAUAUGAACCGUUACAGCCGGCGAUGUCCGAAUGGGGAAACCCAGUGUGAUUCGUCACACUAUCGUUAACUGAAUACAUAGGUUAACGAGGCGAACCGGGGGAACUGAAACAUCUAAGUACCCCGAGGAAAAGAAAUCAACCGAGAUUCCCCCAGUAGCGGCGAGCGAACGGGGAGCAGCCCAGAGUCUGAAUCAGCUUGUGUGUUAGUGGAACGGUCUGGAAAGUCCGACGGUACAGGGUGAUAGUCCCGUACACCAAAAUGCACAGGUUGUGAACUCGAAGAGUAGGGCGGGACACGUGGUAUCCUGUCUGAAUAUGGGGGGACCAUCCUCCAAGGCUAAAUACUCCUGACUGACCGAUAGUGAACCAGUACCGUGAGGGAAAGGCGAAAAGAACCCCGGCGAGGGGAGUGAAAAAGAACCUGAAACCGUGUACGUACAAGCAGUGGGAGCACCUUCGGGUGUGACUGCGUACCUUUUGUAUAAUGGGUCAGCGACUUAUAUUCUGUAGCAAGGUUAACCGUAUAGGGGAGCCGCAGGGAAACCGAGUCUUAACUGGGCGUUAAGUUGCAGGGUAUAGACCCGAAACCCGGUGAUCUAGCCAUGGGCAGGUUGAAGGUUGGGUAACACUAACUGGAGGACCGAACCGACUAAUGUUGAAAAAUUAGCGGAUGACUUGUGGCUGGGGGUGAAAGGCCAAUCAAACCGGGAGAUAGCUGGUUCUCCCCGAAAGCUAUUUAGGUAGCGCCUCGUGAACUCAUCUUCGGGGGUAGAGCACUGUUUCGGCUAGGGGGUCAUCCCGACUUACCAACCCGAUGCAAACUACGAAUACCGAAGAAUGUUAUCACGGGAGACACACGGCGGGUGCUAACGUCCGUCGUGAAGAGGGAAACAACCCAGACCGCCAGCUAAGGUCCCAAAGUCACAGUUAAGUGGGAAACGAUGUGGGAAGGCACAGACAGCCAGGAUGUUGGCUUAGAAGCAGCCAUCAUUUAAAGAAAGCGUAAUAGCUCACUGGUCGAGUCGGCCUGCGCGGAAGAUGUAACGGGGCUAAACUGUGCACCGAAGCUGCGGCAGCGACACGAUGUGUUGUUGGGUAGGGGAGCGUUCUGUAAGCCUGCGAAGGUGGCCUGUGAGGGUUGCUGGAGGUAUCAGAAGUGCGAAUGCUGACAUAAGUAACGAUAAUGCGGGUGAAAAGCCCGCACGCCGGAAGACCAAGGGUUCCUGUCCAACGUUAAUCGGGGCAGGGUGAGUCGACCCCUAAGGCGAGGCCGAAAGGCGUAGUCGAUGGGAAACAGGUUAAUAUUCCUGUACUUGGUGUUACUGCGAAGGGGGGACGGAGAAGGCUAUGUUAGCCGGGCGACGGUUGUCCCGGUUUAAGCAUGUAGGCGGAGGUUCCAGGUAAAUCCGGUACCUUUUAACGCUGAGGUGUGAUGACGAGGCACUACGGUGCUGAAGUAACAAAUGCCCUGCUUCCAGGAAAAGCCUCUAAGCAUCAGGUAACAUUGAAUCGUACCCCAAACCGACACAGGUGGUCAGGUAGAGAAUACCAAGGCGCUUGAGAGAACUCGGGUGAAGGAACUAGGCAAAAUGGUGCCGUAACUUCGGGAGAAGGCACGCUGAUAUGUAGGUGAAGCCCCUGCGGGUGGAGCUGAAAUCAGUCGAAGAUACCAGCUGGCUGCAACUGUUUAUUAAAAACACAGCACUGUGCAAACACGAAAGUGGACGUAUACGGUGUGACGCCUGCCCGGUGCCGGAAGGUUAAUUGAUGGGGUUAUCCGUAAGGAGAAGCUCUUGAUCGAAGCCCCGGUAAACGGCGGCCGUAACUAUAACGGUCCUAAGGUAGCGAAAUUCCUUGUCGGGUAAGUUCCGACCUGCACGAAUGGCGUAAUGAUGGCCAGGCUGUCUCCACCCGAGACUCAGUGAAAUUGAACUCGCUGUGAAGAUGCAGUGUACCCGCGGCAAGACGGAAAGACCCCGUGAACCUUUACUAUAGCUUGACACUGAACAUUGAGCCUUGAUGUGUAGGAUAGGUGGGAGGCUUUGAAGCGUGGACGCCAGUCUGCGUGGAGCCAACCUUGAAAUACCACCCUUUAAUGUUUGAUGUUCUAACGUUGGCCCCUUAUCGGGGUUGCGGACAGUGUCUGGUGGGUAGUUUGACUGGGGCGGUCUCCUCCCAAAGAGUAACGGAGGAGCACGAAGGUUAGCUAAUCCUGGUCGGACAUCAGGAGGUUAGUGCAAUGGCAUAAGCUAGCUUGACUGCGAGCGUGACGGCGCGAGCAGGUGCGAAAGCAGGUCAUAGUGAUCCGGUGGUUCUGAAUGGAAGGGCCAUCGCUCAACGGAUAAAAGGUACUCCGGGGAUAACAGGCUGAUACCGCCCAAGAGUUCAUAUCGACGGCGGUGUUUGGCACCUCGAUGUCGGCUCAUCACAUCCUGGGGCUGAAGUAGGUCCCAAGGGUAUGGCUGUUCGCCAUUUAAAGUGGUACGCGAGCUGGGUUUAGAACGUCGUGAGACAGUUCGGUCCCUAUCUGCCGUGGGCGCUGGAGAAUUGAGGGGGGCUGCUCCUAGUACGAGAGGACCGGAGUGGACGCAUCACUGGUGUUCGGGUUGUCAUGCCAAUGGCAUUGCCCGGUAGCUAAAUGCGGAAGAGAUAAGUGCUGAAAGCAUCUAAGCACGAAACUUGCCCCGAGAUGAGUUCUCCCUGA